rnacentral:lncRNA from 1 species
UUCAAUGAAUAUAUACAUAUAUUGUAAAUUAUGAUUCGGGAGCGCUCCUAGUAGCAUUUAACGUGUCUUGGUUUGUUUAUUUCUACUGCAUGUUGAUUGUAAAUUUUGUAUAGUUCUUUUUCUUCUUAACUUCCCCAUCACAAAAAUAUAAAGGUUUAUUAUGUUAUACAGGGUAUUUACAAAGUUAUAACCAAAUUUCUAUGAAAAUCGCAACAAGUUCAACUCACUGUAUAGUAUAAAUAAAAAAAUACACCAAAGCAUUGGUUCAUAAACUGGUAUAAUUAACUUAUAGUUCUGCUUCGCUUCCCCUUCCUCUAAUAACAAAUAUUUAUCUAUCAACAAACACUAAACAUAUUAACAAAAUAGGGUGUACCAAAAUAUACAGUUACUACGCACGCUAAAUAAUUUCGUCACUGGAUUGAUGAAGUUUAAUUCGCAUUCGCGUGUAUUUAACUUUUUUAUUUGCGUACACGUAAGCGUGUAAUUACCUAGACACAGUAUUUUUUUAUUAUUUAGUGUAUGGUGGGAUAGUCUUGGCAGUCAAGGUUAAGGUGAAACAUAAUGAAUGGAAUGGAAGAAGAAAUAUUUUUAACAACAACAACAAAUUGGGAAGUGUUUUAAGGUUAUGUUCUUUGUUGCUAUUUUAAUUUUAAGAAAAAUUUUUGUUUGAGCUUCUUUUAAUAUGGCAUAAAAAGGUUUUCAAAUAUUCCAUCCUUAAUGACUUCUUGGAUAAUGAUAACAAGAUCAUAAGAUAAACAUGAAAAUGCCAUAGUAUCCGGUGAUGGAAAAAAGAUGAUCUUUGACUCUGAUUAAUCAUAAGGAGAGAAAUAUUAGUGGGUGUCCAGUAUGAAGAAAAAAGCUAUGAUGUAAUAAAUAAUAAAUUUGUUGAAGGCUAGUGAAAUUACAUUGGCUACAUGUAGUUGUUCCAGAGCUGCUAAAUGCCAUCAUAUUGCAGGAUUGGCACUAUUAAGCGUUAUAAAAUUUUAAGUAGUGGAUAAAGAGGUUGUAGAAUGCUCCAGCUAAAACUUAAUCUGAGGUAGCGAAAUGUACUGAAUUGCGUUAUCAACCAAAGCCAAUUUUAAAGCUAAUUGGUUCUCACCAAAGCCAUAAAUGCCCACAUGUUACUACAAUCUUCCUCGAGGCACUUACGAGAGAAAAGUUAUGUUGCAAAAUUUUUCAUCAACUUAUCACGGAAAAAGAUAAAAUGUUAUUUUUCUCACGGCACGACUGCUCCCGGGUUAAAAUCCUAUAUGGCGUCAAAAUUAAUGAGACACAAAAAAGGGUAUGAAAUCAACUAUAAUUAUCUUUUAAAUCCUUCAUUUUUAAAACCUUCUCUCUCGGGAGGAAAACUAGAACAUCGCUCCUUUGUUAUAAAAAUAGCUAUUAUCUUUAUUAAUUCAAAUCAUAAUUUAUUUUUAAUUUAUCAUUAUGAAUGGCUGUAGGAUUAAUAGAAAUAAAAUAGUAAUUUGUAAAAAAA